ACAAUUUUCAUGAAAAAAAAUGAAUUAGAUUUCAAUGAUGUUAUUAUAAUAUUUUCGUUUCUAUUUGACCAAAUUCAUGGAAUUCAUUUCGUUUUAUCAUCUAUCAUCAUCAUCAAGCAAAUGAAAACAAAAAAAAACUUACCAAUAAAAUAGUCGAUAAUAGACAAAAACAAAAAACAAAACAAAACAAAAAAAUAAAAAAUUGGAUUGAAAACAAAGAAUGUAACGUAAAUCGAAACAAAGAAAAAUCGCAUGAACGAUCCAGAGAUAUUCAACAAACAAUAUAUAAUUCCUACAAAAAAAGUUGUCCCCUUUUUCGAAUCAAAUUAUCUGAGAAUGGAAAAGUUGAAUUUAUUCUCAUUCAUCAUCAUAACGAUUCUGCCGCCGGCCGAAAUCAGAAUUGGAUAAAUCUUGCAAAUUUUUUUUUCGUAUUUAUGAUAUUACCUUUUGAAAUAUAUUGUGACAUCAUUUAGAUUUGAUUUAUUGUUUGCCGCUUUGACGAUCAUAACGACUGAAUAAUUUCUACAUAAUUUUAUCCAAUAACAAUAAUUAUUGAAAAGAAACAUACGAUUUCAGUGCUUCGGGCAAUCAGAUCAAAGAUCAUCAUAAUCAUCAAACAGUCAAUGGGUUUGCAUCAAAACAUUGCUUCAAGCCUAAAAUUCUUCUCGAUCAAGAUGUUUAUCAAGAAUUUUCAUUCACAUUUUAUAAUUCAGAAAAAUAUUGAUUCAAAACAUAUUCAAACAAUUGUUCUGAAGAGAUUUGAUUAUCUAACUUCUGUUAUUGUUAUACAGAAUUGUUGAUAUGAAGUGAUAAGAAUCUAUACAU